rnacentral:rRNA from 1 species
UACGUAGGGGGCAAGCGUUAUCCGGAUUUACUGGGUGUAAAGGGAGCGUAGACGGCUUUGCAAGUCUGAUGUGAAAGGCAGGGGCUCAACCCCUGGAUUGCAUUGGAAACUGUAGAGCUUGAGUGCCGGAGAGGUAAGCGGAAUUCCUAGUGUAGCGGUGAAAUGCGUAGAUAUUAGGAGGAACACCAGUGGCGAAGGCGGCUUACUGGACGGUAACUGACGUUGAGGCUCGAAAGCGUGGGGAGCAAACAGG